CUACUGACUUAAUUGGCUUGAGCCUUAGUAUGGAGAUCUAUUAAGUGAAACAAUUCAAAGAAACUCUGGAAUUAAUAAAAAUGGGCAAUCUUGAACCAACUCCUUUUUUCAAAAGCAAAACAUAAAGAUUCCGAAAACAAGAAUAAAAAAAAAAGGAUAGGUGCAGAGACUCAAAGGAAGCUGUUCUAACAAAUGGGGUUGAUUGUACUGUGUUGUUUUAAGAAUUCUUCUGUCGAACCUCCAAUCCAAAAUGGGUGAAGAAUAUACUUAUCAAAUGAUUAAUGA
rfam:Beta vulgaris subsp. vulgaris chromosome 7, whole genome shotgun sequence.